rnacentral:rRNA from 1 species
UACGUAGGGGGCAAGCGUUGUCCGGAUUCAUUGGGCGUAAAGAGCUCGUAGGCGGUUCGGCAAGUCGGGUGUGAAACCUCCAGGCUCAACCUGGAGACGCCACCCGAUACUGCUGUGACUUGAGUCCGGUAGGGGACCACGGAAUUCCUGGUGUAGCGGUGAAAUGCGCAGAUAUCAGGAGGAACACCGGUGGCGAAGGCGGGUCUCUGGGCCGA